rnacentral:lncRNA from 1 species
GAUAGAUCUACAUUUCACUGUGGUUCUUGAAUCAGACAACCAUUAAGUAAAUUAUUAUACCAAAUUUCUAGUUUGCUCCAUUUGUUCUCCAGAUUUUAGGAAUAAGUCUCUCCAGGCUACAUUCCUGGGACUGCUGGCCCUUUCUGUUAUAACUUGUUAAUUGCCAGGGAUUAAAGUUCAAUUAUGAGUGGCUACUAGUAGAUCUAAAUAUGCCUAACAACAUUUAUAUAUUGAAAGAAUAUAUUUUACCUUAUUCUAAUCAGCAAAUGAGAGACCUAAAUAUAUAGACACGUUUUAGGCUAGUGCCCAAGUUUUAGUCUUGUAGACCACUGACAUUAUUCCUCGCCACUCAAAUUUUUGUCUGUAGACCUGAAACAACAGUAUUAUCUAGGAUCUUAUUAGAAAUACACAAUCUAAGGUGAUUUCAACACCUAUUGAAUCAUACGUAAUGUGCCUUUUCACAAAAUCCUCAGUUCAUUUUUAUGUCUAUGAAAAUUUGAGAAGCUGUUGUAAGUCAUUUUGACUUUUUAAACCCUUUCCUGAAAGUGAUUAAAGGUUUUCUUUGUACUUUUAUUACUACUUUGGUGAGAAUAAAACACAGGGAAAACAAGGAAAGAAAAUUUUCAUUACACGCAGGCCAGCACUAGGCUUUGUUAGACACCAUAGAAAAGCACAGGAUUCUAAUGGAAUGGUAGCAAAGAUAAGUGGCAAAAGAAUUCAACAGUUUUGCCACCUGUUGAUAUUAUUGAAAAUCUCUUUAAAGCAAUUGGAAAUCCUCAUUCAGAAAUAAUGUAACCUGCCUGUCAGGAGCCUUUUGAACACUUGUAACUAAUUGACAUUCACCGCUCCAGGCAUCAAAUGCAUUUACUAUGCUCUUGGGGUACAGUUUAACUUGAAGUUGACAUAUUGAAUGCAGAGUUACCGACAGGAAAGGCAUGAAGUCCACUUUGAAGGCGAGCAUCUUUCAGUUCUGGAACACACAGAACAUUGGCCCAGUGAUACGAGUUCUGAGUCAUACUGCUGAUUUGUUGCAGAGAUAAACAAAUCUGGAAUCCCAUAAUUCUACGAUUAAGUAUGUGCAAUGUGUGGGGAAAUCGCUUACAACAGAGUAGAGUAAGUCCUGGGAUUAUACUUAAAAAAGAAAAUGCUGAGGCUUAUUUCCCUCUACUUAACCCUAAGAAAAAUAAUCUGAGGCCUGUGUUUCAUUUUCAUCAACUGCAAACUUGGAUGCUGGAUCUUCCUACUAGAGCUCACUGAUUGCCCAGGGUUGAGGUACAAGAAUUAUGAAGGUGUAUUGCAAGUGUCAGAAAAAUUCUGAUACAAAAUGAUCUACCUUAUUUUGGAAUUAAGAAACACUUGAAGAUUAUUCUCAGAAAUGCCAUAAGGGAUAUUUAAAAAUCUUGGAGCACACAAGAAGUACAAGAGGAAUGAAAAUGUCAUGUCUUAAUUUUCCAAAAAAGAGAAUAUUUUAGUUUUUAGUAUAUAAAGGCAGAUUAACAAACCUUCACACAAAUCUAAAUUUUAUUACUAAAUUAAUUGAUUACACUUUGUGUUUACUAGGUCACAGGGAAUUUCAGUGGGUUUACUCUGCAAAAGAUUUCAUGUGAAAUACAUUUUUCUAUUCUGAAAGGUUUUUCAAGAUUUUCAAGGCAACUAAGAAGUUUUCUAAAAAGACAGUGUUUGUAAUACAGGCUCUAUAGAAAGCAUCGUUGUGGAGGCCUCAGGAAACUUACAAUCAUGGCAGAAGGCGAAGGGAAGCAGGCACAUCUUACGUGGCUGGAGAAGGAGGAAGAGAGAGCAGAGGAAGGUGCUACACAUUUUUAAACAACCGGAUCUCAUGAGAACUCACUCACUAUCACAAGAACAGCAGGGAAAUCCACCCCCAUGAUUCUAUCACCUCCCACUAGCCCUCUCCUCCUUCAACACUGGGGAUUACAACUCCACAUAAGGUUUGGGCAGGGACACACAUCCAAACCAUAUCAUCACUAAUUAAUGUUUCUGAAAGCUAGAGUUACAUUACAACCACCUGAGGAGCUUUUAGAAAAUUACAGAUCCCUGAGCUUCCAUCUAGAUUGAUUAAAUAAAAAUAUCUGGGCUUGAAUUCCUCGAGUUUGCAUUUUUUAAACUUUGUCAGUGAUUCUGAUGGUCAAUGAGUUUUGAGAACCACCGCUCUAAACCUUUCUGAAAUUUCUUCUUGUUCUAUAAAGUGAGGAUAAUAAUAUGAUAAGGAUAUCUCUGUCACAAUUUGAUGUAAGACAUAUAAAUAACUUAACCUAAAUCAGGUUCUCAGCACUGUAUCAGCUUAUAGAAGUAGAACGAGUAUGCAUUUUGCAAAUGAGUUCCUAAUCUAGCUGCAGUAUUUCCUAGGUCUGUCACAGUCAAGUCAUAGGACUUUGGAGAUUCAGUUUCCUCAUUUCUCAUAGGACCUUGGAGCCUCAGUUUUUCU